AUGAACCAGAGUGGGGAAGAAACAUCACAAUCAUCUUCUGACACACUAUUACUUUCAUCCUCUGACUUCAAGAACAGAUGGCCAGGACUAUUCAGUGUGACUGAGGUGGAAGCAGAAUUUGUGAGGAUUACUACUGCUCCACUUGUUCCGAGGUUUCUUGCACAACUUGACCAAUACGCUGACCAGCUCAUAAAAGUCUUCAAGAAAAAAGGAGGCGCUGCAGGGAGGAAAAUUAGCCACACAGAAUGAAACUACUGAAAAGAGGAGGGAGUGUGUCCUCAGGCACUACCUCUUUACCUGAAUGAAUAUGGCGUUAUUUUUGUGCCACUAUUCUGAGCGCACGUAAAAAAAGUGUUGGGUGUUGAAGUUCUGCAUGACCUGGCAGACAUGGCCUCUGCAUGUGCACUCUUAAUGGAUGUGAUAUAUGCACUGAAUCUCAGUUAUCCUCAGGAACUGAAAGCUUUCUUUGAAGUACUUCAGAAGCUCUUCCUUCAUCUGGAUGCCAGCAGACUCUUAACCAAGGUACAGAUGCUCAAGAAUAAACUGUAUGAAUAAGCCAACCCUUAAUUUGGAUGAUGAAUGUUCUGUCAGCUGGACAGAAGUUUUUGGGAGGCAAAUAAAAUGGUCAUUUGGUUGAAAAUGGUAUUUGAGGGGGGAACCUAAAUUAAAACAUUUGUUUGUAAACAAU